GACUGGGUAUAGUAACGUCUCGAGGAGAGUUUCGGAGGAUUGGAUCAAUCACUACAAAACCAGACUAUAAUAGGUUAUUCAUCUCCUUCUUCAUUACAUACGGCCGUUUCUUUCCCUUUCUCUUCUCCUCUAACCUUCUGCAACAGUGUUCGAUUGAGUUAGGAAGAAACAGUUUCGAGUGAGGUCUUUGCUCACAUAGUUCGUGUUUAUGGCUUUGUUUCACUCUCAUGGUAUUUGAUGACUGAUACGGGUUGAAAACAUGGUAACUGGUUGUUCAAAAUCAUAGUUUUCUUUCAAGAGACCGUCAACAUAUUUACAAACUUAAUGAGACUCCAAUUGGCGCAAAUUUUGCAAUGUAAUCCUUUUUGAAGUUUGAGGCCGCAUGCAACUUCAGUUCUCUUAAAUCCUGUGGUGUGUUUGAGUAAGUUGGGGACAAGGAGUUUGUGUUCGAAAUUCUAAGACUUUCGGGGGUUGGAAAAUUAGUUGGAGAGAACAUAGCUUGUCGUUGUUCUGCUAUGUAGUUGGUUGACUGUACGGAGAGAUUAAGCUCUAUUACCUACCUGCAUAGCAUCAUCACCUGCCAAUUCACGUCUACAACAAUACCACCAGUAUUUUUAAGUGUUUGGUGUUUGCAUAUUUCUCCACCAUUUUGGAAGGUUAGUGGUUUAAUGCUUGCAAGACAUAUUGUUUCAAAAGAAUCCCAAGUACAAGACAUUUGUUCAGCAAAUGUUUGAGCCAAUAUGAGAAGUUGAGAAAGAAGCAAGCCUUUAUUGAAUUAUGCAAUUCCUAUGUUUGCGGAACUGUACUUGCUAUGGCGGGAGAAGGCAGUGCUACAGGGAGAAGGCAGAAUCAUGUCAUCUUCUGCUGGUGCAACAUCAUCUUCACCUACAAUGACUUCAGCUUCAGCAUCACAGGCAACACCAUCAACUACACGUUCAUAUAUGAGCGGUAGAGGAUCAUGAGGUUCAAGAUGUAGAGUUUGGAGGAAGGUCUGGUGGUGGGAUUGCAAGUGUAUAAGACAAUGUCACAGGCCAUUGCAGGUGUAUAAAAAAACAGGAAGAUGAUUGUCUUCAGGAUUGCAUAAAAGUUGCCAGGUCUGAUGGUUUAACUGCAGUUAAAUCUUUGAGUUAAAAGAGGGGGUAUUUUGGGGACAAGUAACACCGUUUUUUUCCCCAGCAGUUAUGUCGGACAGAACAUGACCAUUUUGUAAGCCAAUUACAAAAGUAUGACCCUUUUGUAACCGUAUUAUAAAAAGUAGGACCAUUUUAUAAUUGACCCUAAAGUAAAUAACACAAAAGGGGGUUUUGGUUGUAAGAUAAAUAAAAAGACAAUA